UUCCGUACAGGUGAGUUUGGCGAGAAUGAUCACGUCCGAACCCGAAUUCCGAUUUCGCAAAAAGGUUCGCAGUCAGCAAAAACCAACCAACACUUUAAGAAAAGGUAUGGCGAACCAAAACCUCCACCUGUGUUAUUUAUGUAAGAACGCAGAUCUUUGUUCACUUUGAGCCACGAAAAAAGAUGUAUUAUUAUC